AUUGAACGCUGGCGGCAGGCCUCACACAUGCAAGUCGAGCGAGUGGCGGACGGGUGAGUAAUGUCUGGGGAACUGCCCGAUAGAGGGGGAUAACUACUGGAAACGGUGGCUAAUACCGCAUACUAUCGGAUGAACCCAUAUGGGAUUGGCUAGUUGGUGGGGUAAAGGCUCACCUAGGCGACGAUCUCUAGCUGGUCUGAGAGGAUGAUCAGCCACAUUGUGACUGAGACACGGCCCAGACUCCUACGGGAGGGAGCAGUGGGGAUUAUUGCACAAUGGGCGCAAGCAUGCUGCAGCCAUGCCGCGUGUAUGAAGAAGGCCUUAGGGUUGUAAAGUACUUUCAGCGGGGAGGCGUUACCCGCAGAAGAAGCACCGGCUAACUCCGUGCCAGCAGCCGCGGUAAUUC
rnacentral:rRNA from 1 species